rnacentral:tRNA from 1 species
AGGAUUAUAGUUUAUAUAAAACAUUUGAUUUGCACUCAAAAAAUAUUGAAUUAAACA